GAUGAACGCUGGCGGCGUGCCUAAUACAUGCAAGUCGAGCGAACAGACGAGGAGCUUGCUCCUCUGACGUUAGCGGCGGACGGGUGAGUAACACGUGGAUAACCUACCUAUAAGACUGGGAUAACUUCGGGAAACCGGAGCUAAUACCGGAUAAUAUAUUGAACCGCAUGGUUCAAUAGUGAAAGAGGGAUUUGCUGUCACUUAUAGAUGGAUCCGCGCCGCAUUAGCUAGUUGGUAAGGUAACGGCUUACCAAGGCAACGAUGCGUAGCCGACCUGAGAGGGUGAUCGGCCACACUGGAACUGAGACACGGUCCAGACUCCUACGGGAGGCAGCAGUAGGGAAUCUUCCGCAAUGGGCGAAAGCCUGACGGAGCAACGCCGCGUGAGUGAUGAAGGUCUUCGGAUCGUAAAACUCUGUUAUUAGGGAAGAACAAAUGUGUAAGUAACUAUGCACGUCUUGACGGUACCUAAUCAGAAAGCCACGGCUAACUACGUG
rnacentral:rRNA from 1 species